UACGUAGGGAGCGAGCGUUAUCCGGAAUUAUUGGGUGUAAAGGGUGCGUAGACGGGAAAGCAAGUUAGUUGUGAAAUCCCUCGGCUUAACUGAGGAACUGCAACUAAAACUACUUUUCUUGAGUGCAGGAGAGGUAAGUGGAAUUCCUAGUGUAGCGGUGAAAUGCGUAGAUAUUAGGAAGAACACCAGUGGCGAAGGCGGCUUGCUGGACAGUAACUGACGUUGAGGCUCGAAAGCGUGGGUAUCGAACAGG
rnacentral:rRNA from 1 species